GUGCUAAUUCUUAUGUUUUAGAAAAUAAUGCUCUUUUUAUUAUCUCAUAGAAUAAUUUUUGGCAACUAGUGCUUUCGUGAGCUUCUUUUAUGUUAAGAUUGAAUUUAGUAUUUAUUAAUCAUUUUUAUUAUUGUGUGGUGAUUAAUUUGUAGGAAUAAUUAAUCGAUACCUUCCUGACUACAUUCAGAAUUAUUGUUUUUAAUUAUUAACUUCAUAGUAACGAAUACUGCUCAGAUGCCUUUAAAACUAAUUUAAGUAGAUUCACAGUAUCAAAAACCUACUAUAGAUUUUAAUAGUAAAUCAAAUUCUACACCAAGACAAGUAUUAAGGAAACACCAACGUAAAUACAAUAAUUUUUGACGACAAUGUACCUAGAAGAAGUUAUAAUCCUAAUUGGUUUAGCUAGAGUUAAGAUAUUUCUGUUUAUCUGAAUAUAUCGUACUUAAUUAACGCCGUAAUUUCCAUUUAAUUCCUUUUGAAUUCUUUUAAGUUUUCUUUGCGUGAUAUAUUUCAUUUGAUUACAGAUUGUGAAGGGUUCUUGCUCACUAGGAGUAGAAGGGGGGCUUUAAUUCUUCUGCAUGAAGGUUAUAAGUAUCGUCAAGACUAUUCCCAUGGAGAGAGGACGUCUUGGAGGUGUAUUCGGAGACACCAUGGAUGCAAAGGGUCAGCUGUCACUAGAGGAAAAGAACUGCUCAAAGCUAGUCAACACACACACGAUGAAGAGGAUUCUGCCGAUGAAAAAAGUCGAGAUUAGAUGCAUGAAAGGAUUAUUUUUGUUCAUAUUCUUCGUCCAAAUAUUGUUUAGGGUCGCUAGAUUAUUGUUUGAAGUACAUUGUACGUAUGUAUAUCAAUUGUUUAUUAGUUAUGAAGAUGUAAAUAUUAUUCCUAUAUAUUUUGUAUGUUUAAUAAAAAAAUAUUAUAACACAUUGCAGUUAUAAUUACAAAGCAUUCUGCUGAUACAACAACGUCUGAGCAUUCUGCCGAUACCAGAAUUAAGCGAAUCAAAGAGCUUUUCGGUCAAAAUGUCAAUACACGGAAUUUUAUUAUCAAGUCGUGCAUAGGAUUCAAUCUAACUGAAAUGUUCAGGGCUGUUUCCAGGGCUUCGGCGAGCGACGUUCAUGGAGCAGAACGGUCGGAACGUGCUCAUGAUAGGGAACAAUCGAUUCAUGAAGCACUACAUAAGCCGACGGGGUACGACCCGAUGGAGGUGCUGCAGGUCCUUCAACAAAUGCAGAGCAAUAGCCAUUACAAAUGGCAGCUACAUCAUGAAACUUAAUGAUCAGCAUAACCAUUAAUUGCCAUCCUACUAAAGUGAUCAUCUUCAUCCUAUUAACCUCAUCCCAAUUUUAUUCGGGGACGGAGCCGAAUGUCCAUUCAACUUCUGCCUGACGUCAUCCCAAAAGUGAUAUUAACUUCUAAAUGUCUCCCUAGCAUGUCACACCAUUUCAACUAGGACAAUAGAACUAGCAGACCGCGUAAACUUCUAAUUUGUAACCUUUUUCAAGAUCUUUAGUUUAUUGAUUUAUGUCCAUUAUCAGGACUAUGUAUUAUACUCGUAAGUUAUUUUUUUUUUGUUAAUAUCUUCUUUUUAUUAAUUAUAAUAUUAAUCACGUUUUAUUAGAAAACGGUUAAAAGAGGAGUUUUGAAAUGCAUAUAUGAUGAUAGGUGUGGCUUCACCAGCACAGGAAUGGGAUAUCUUCGGGGCAGUUAAAUUAGGUAUGUUCCCUACUAUAAAGAUGGAUAUUUGGUUACGAGAUGGUCAGACAAUCUGACAAAGGAUGUGGGCAGGCGCUGGACGCUGGCCCCUUUUAGAAGGUUCUUUUUGAAUUCUAUUUUAAUGUGAUGGUGAUGAUGAAGAGGUCUUUUGAUAGAACACUAUUCGGUGGUGAGACAUCACAUACACUCGGUGACAAAUUGUGGUCAGCGAAUUCUCUAAUGUUGUUUAGACAAUUAGAAACAUGUAUCAUAUUAAAGAAAUGUAGUAGGUGAAACAUUUCGAGGUAUACUAUUAGGUACUUAAUGUUUGUGUUUUUAAACGUUGAUACGUAAUAUACCCAGUAAUAGAGAAUAUUAUAAAGUUUUAUUUCAUUAGCAAAAUAUGUUUCUGUGAAAUUUAAAAGUCUGUUGGGUAUCCAGAUUUUAAUAAAUAUUUAGGCACUUUACGCUGACUAACCCUGUUUUUUUUUAUUGAAUGUUUUUAAGUCUAUGAAGGUUAUUUUUUUUACUAAUUUACACUACGAUAUUGCGUUGCAAAGCUGCGCAAUAUUUCUAUAUAAAUUAUAUUUUGGUUAUUGUUUAUUUGAAAACAGCUAAUCCUUUUAGGAUUAACUAUUUAUAAACUAAUAUUAAGUAUUUUCACUGAUAAAUCAUUUUAUAAAUAGAUCUGGUAGAAGAUAUUUACAGUAAAUUACCUGUACAAUUUUAAAUAGAUAUUAAAUACUUAUUAACUGAGAUUGUAUUAUUUAAGAAAAGAAACAUAAAAUAUUUCUUGAGGUAGUUUUGAGUUAUUCUAGGUAAUUUAAAUUGAAAUGUUAAGGCCGGACUGCACUCAAAAUAAUUAUGUUGUGCAAUCUACACGUAACUUUUAGUCAGUUUUUAAAAUAUAAUAUAAAACAUAAAUCGAAAUACUCAUAACGUGAAAACCUAAGGUGACUAAACCUAUAAAACUUAACAAAGCCUAGGUUAUUACUGUUAUUAGAGUUAGGAACUCAUUCGAUGUCGUUUGCUGCAAGUCAUCAAAGCCUACCUUUUUCCUUUAAAAGGGGUCUUAUAUUAUUCUACGGAAACGAUACCUGUUUAUAAAUUGAUGUUAGAAAUAAGUUGUAAAUACGAGUAACAAGCUGCUUUGUAGAAUUAAACACGUAAUUAAAUUAUGGCGAAGUCAUUAAGAUUGUAAAUAAUACUAUGUAGAAUGUUUUGUACGUAAAUGUUAGUCAUUUUGUUCUGCCUUCAAUAAAUGGUAUUAUAUUCCAUGCUUUUAAAUUUAUUUUGUUUAUUUGUUAGCUUAAGGUGCAGACGUCCCAUCGUGGGGACGAAUACACAGGUUUUUAGACGGAUCUGGUGGGGAGCUCCGUACUUUAAUAGUAGAUACUCGUACUAAGAUAGGAACCUACACGUCCGAAUCAACUCACCUGUUUCGUCUACUCUACCAGGCAGUUCCGUACAUAUUUGAAUGACUUCUUACCGGUGCGGUUAGUUAAUCACAUGAUCGCCUAGCAAGCUAAGGACGUGAAACAUACAAACAGAUAAAUCCAUAAAAAUAUUUGAAUACUUGAUGUAAAUAUAAGCCAUCCGGUCAUAUAUCCAUAAGCCAUACUGGAAGCCGACCCCAAUAUAGUUGGGAAAAAGGCUCGGAGGAUGGUGAUGUAAAUAUAAACACAAUUGAAACUUUUGACUGGUUUUUAUUUUAGCCUUUGAAAUAACGGUGUCCGAGGAUGGUAGACCAAUGCUGUUGGUUGACGAUCAUCGCUACUACCGUCAUUUGACCAACAGAGCCGGUAUGGUGAGGUGGAGAUGCCAUAGAAACAGGUUCGACUGCAAAGCUGUUCUUUGGACGUAUUCGGGUAAUAUUAUUAGUAGAACUUGGAAGGGCCAACACCAUAGACAUAACCAUUGAAGAUAAAAUAAUGGAAGAAAAAAUAUGAUUAAUAACUUGGUAUGUACAAUGUGAUAGUUUUUGUAAUUACCUAAAUAAAUCAAAUAAUGAAAUUAAACUACUUCUUUUAAAAUGUGUUUUCUCAUUUUUAAAUUCUCAAUUUAGGUGUAUGGUAAUGCUAAACGCAACAUAGUGAUACACACACAACGUAGUAGUAAGGUAGGUAUAAAUAAAAAUUGUAAAGAAUUUAGUAAAUUUGGGCACUUAUGCUGUACUAAUAGUUACAUAAAUAGUAAUACAUUAUUUUUUAUCAAUAAUGUUGUCAAUUUUUGCCAUCAGCUCACAUUAUAAGGCGCAGUGGAUAUCCAUCGCUAUUCUACCAAGGCUUCUACUACAGACCACACAACGCUUACCGCCAAAAAAAGGUGCAGCUCUGGUACUGCAGGUUUCGAAACGGUAGAAACUGCAGGGCCGUGAUAAGAACCGUAGAUGGAGUGAUAUUCCAAACUGGCGAGGGCUUCUAUGGUCACACAUGCCAAACCUCUAAGAAUUUUAAGCUAAAGAAAUAAUGGCUCUCGUUACAGUAAAGUUUGAUGCAAGAUUAGUGUUUGUUACCUAGUGCAAUAGCGAAAAUAUUAUACCAACGAAUGUAUUCUAGUCGAUUUCAAAUUGUUUGCCAUACUGAUGAAUUGUGUUAUUAAUUGGGACUUGUAAUUUGCAAAACGUCUGUUAAAUUAGAUUUUACUUUUAUCGGAUGUUGAACAAUAACUGGAUAGUCUUUUACCAAAUGGCCAAUGCGGCACAUAUUUUAGUGUGUGUAUCUAUAGUUAUAAUAGUAGUAGAAUAGUGUAUUGAAGAAUUCUAUGUGCCAUAUCUGAUUAAAUUAUUUAAAAUAGAUUCUAUUGUUUUUUAACCAUAUUUACCUACCGAAUAAAGACAGGUAUUCUAAAACUUAUAAAAUCAUUCAAAGCCUCUCGAUGCUUAAAACCAGUUUCCAAUAUUUAUGCAGAAGAGGUUCGGAAAAAGGAUGUAGGUAGAUAAAGCGGUUGAUCUCGACUAGGUAAGAGAAAGUAAAGAUCCCUUACCAUAACUGGAUCCAGCUCUAUAAGUUUCUGAAAAAUAAGUUUUAAACGCUCAAAAUAAAACGGUUUUUUUAAAUUAAAAAUACCUUUAUUUUAAACCAAUUACAAAUGAUUGCAGCACUAAAAUAUAUAUAUAUUUUUUGUUUUGAAGAAAAUCUUAUUUUAGACUAAAGUCCUUUAUUAAACGAACACAUCGAAAAGGUACAGAGGUAGAAGAAAAAACAUUUCUUUUAUAUAUUUUUUAUUACAAACAGUGUCAACAUUAUAAAAAAAUAAUGCCUUAUACCUAAGUGUACUGUGGCUUACGAGCUUAAAUUGUAUUUAAUUAUAAAACUAAUGAUAUUAUUUAAAGCUUAUUUUAACCGCGCAUCGAAUGCGCAGUGCUCAAAGACACUUUCCUAAGGCACUUGCCUAUUUACUUAUGAAUAGAGUGAUUACAACAAUCUCUGGAAAAAUCAUGAAACUAGCUAAAAAUGUAUCUCUAAAAAACACGAUUUCCAAAAUCUUUUCAAAUCAUACACAAUAUAUUCGAAUAAACAUCAAAAAUAAAAAUAAAGGAAUGAUCAUAAUCUUACAAUAAAAUAAAACUAGGACUAAAUUUGGAUUUUCAAAACUUCAGAUCAUUUUAGAAAGCUAAGAUAAUCUCUAGCGCAUAGCGAUUAUAAGCUUAGUAACUUAAAAAUAUACAAAAAUACGUUUAUUUGCGAAAUACUAACAGAAGAGACGAAAUACUAUCGCAACGAAUAAAAAAACUAACAAUACAAAAAAAAAUACGAACAUAUUGUUUAAUGUCGUAAAAAAUUACUUAUACGCGUAUUACCACUUUAGUGAUUCUCCAAUCAUUUGUUGGGACUUAUACCCACACUUUUCUGUGCAUCAUGGUUGUGUACCAAGAAUGACCUGACGAUCAUAGUGUCAUGUGUAGUAAUGCUUGCUCUGCAGCCCAACUGUAUGCGUUUGCUGCAAGUCCACCGCACCUUCUUCUUGUAGCAUUCGUGUUUGAUGAACUUGUGUUCGCCGACGUGCACGACAAGAUGACCGCGGUUUGACAGGCCGAAACGAACUGAAAAUGGAAGAUGAGUUUAGUAUCAAUUUCGAUGAUGGUAAAUGUAUGGCAUGUUUUUUACAGUUGUUAUUAAAAAUAUAUUUGGUAAUAUAUUUUUUAAAUAGUACCAAAUAUAAAAAGUUUUUAUUCCCAAUAAUGCCUUCAUCAAUUGAGUACCGCAUGUUGUGAAAAAAUACAAUGCAGCAACCAAUUAAUUUAGGCAUUUUAAAUCACGUCAGUUAAAAGGUAAUCUUCAAUAGCUUUACAAAAAUCUAAAAAGGUUCUUCUACCAGAUUUUAACAUGUUUAUUUGUUGCAGUUGGCUUGAUUGGUACGGGCAUCGACUCCUUUGCCUCCUAUUGUCUCAGUAAGCAAGGAAAGAUGGGGAUUAACGUCGGUGGCUACCGGUUCAGAUUCAACGGCUGCGCUAGAAAUGGCAAAAUUCGCUGGCGAUGCUCCCGUGGACCCUGGUGCAAGGCUGCUCUACACACAUACAGAGGAAGAAUAGUCUAUAUACAAAGCACACAUAAUUGUGGACCCAAACCGCCUGCUUAAAAAAUAAAUUGUAAUUUUGUAAUUUAUGUUAAUUCGGAGAAAUUUUUAUGACAGGUUUAGUUUAUAAAAACCUUCGAAAUCAAAUAUUAGUUUUAUUGAAUGAGUUGAACUCAUUUUGAAGAUACCUUAAAGCUUACUCUAUGUAUGUUGUAUCUAAGUCUAGUUUAAAUUAAUGUAUACAGGUCGAUACAAUCAAAACUGUAAUUCGAAAACGUAUUUUUCGCAAUGUAUAUUUCUGUAAAUACGCCCAUGAUAUUAUUAUUGAUUGUAGUGAAUCAAUAUAGGGAAUUAAAAUAUUUUUUUUUAUUUUAAACGCAGGAAAAUAUAGUACAAAAUCUAGCCGGUAUCUACAAACCUUUUGUAAUCACAACUCAAUAAGAAAUCUGAUGUAUAAAUAAGGCAAUUAUAAUAUAGGUAUAUAAACAUAAUCGUUUUGUAAGGCAUUUUAAGAAUUUGAAACAAAUAAUUGUUGAUAUCAAAAAGCUCAAACCGCAAAAUAUUGAACGUUUGAAAUUGUUAUUUAUUUAACAUUAACAUUGAUAGUUACCGUCCUUUGAUAAAAUGGUUUAUGUUUUAAACAAUAAGAACAUAAUUUGGUAAUUUAGAAAGUAAUAAGAAAAUUUACCUCAUAGUUUAUUACGUAGAAAUAUUAAAUAGAUGAAAGAGUGAGAGAUGUCCUAAGCAAUUUAAAAGCUUGAACACUUAAAAACUGUGACUAAAAGGCACGCUAGUAUUUUCACCCUGAUUGUAAUGUGCUCAGUAAAUUUUUUAAAUAUAAAAAAUACAGGUAAAUAUCAUGUGGAUGCAAUCAAUAAGUACUUAAAAAUAUAAUGUAUUGCCAAAUUGUAUGUGACAAAAUAUAUUGAAGUCAAAUAUAGAACCUUUAAGGAAAUCAGUUAAUAAUAAGUACACAUUAUAAUUAAGUAUGUACUGUAGAAUUUUUUGAUGAAUGUUAGUAUUUUAAAAUGUUAAAUAAAUCAUGACAUUGUCUAAACUUUCCACAUGUAUAUCUCUAAGAAAAAGUCAGAUGGCCAUAGGCCUACUACUCCACUAAGACGAAGCGGAGAACAUUUUAAACGACCCAUAGAAUUUGUUCAUAUUGGUUAAGUAUUUAAAACUCCUUCGCUCCGUUUUGGUGAAGUCUGGGCCUUAGGUUACAGGCUUUUUUGUCUAUGCUGUCCUGGGCAGAUUCAAAUCCAUGAUAAAAAUGAUUAGUUUAAAGAGCAAGAUACUCAUAGGAUCAUAAUACAGGGUUUGUUGUUUAAGCAUUUUAUCAAAUUCACACAAAAAAUGUAAAUAUCAGGAUCCUCGUGGAUUUAAAGUUAUGUGUUAGGUCAUAUAUUUUUAGGCAGCUGUUUGUAAAUUAGAUACUAAAUUAUUGUCAGAGAUAUGUUUGUCAAAAUUUCUUGAUGUAUUAUUAAAUACUUAUUUACUUAGUGUGUUUUGCUGAAAACAGGAUAUUGAUGAAACAUCAAAAUUAGAUUAAUUGUAGAAAUAAUGAGUAAAACAUAAAUGUCCCUUCACCGCCAUUAGUGUUAAAAUGUCGAAAUUGACUUUAAAAUGUAUCUUAAACUAUAUUGUGUUACCGUUCCCGACAAUAUCACUUGAAUGUAGUUUUGAUUUUAACUACAUAGUUAAAGUGACAAUAAUAAAAAUAUAUCAUUAUUGUAAUAAAUCUACGAAUUUAAUAUUUAUGUCGAUACAGGCGGCUGAAGGGAUGAUAUCAGUAAAAUUAUGUAAUUGGCUACCUCUUAUAUAUUAAAAGUACAUAUAAAUGGUAAUAUAUAACGAUAUGACGUCUAUGCGUGGUUGUGUGAGUUUACAUAACAGUAGUGAAUACUUGCCAAAUUCAGUAGAUAUUAUGUACUUGGUGUAACUCGAUGUUUGUAUAAGAGAAUAAAAACUAGUCAUAACUGUUA